CACAGAAAGCACUAACGUUGUUCAGCAUUAUUGGGUGUAAAGGAUACGUAGAUUGUUCAGGAUUGGAUUUUUAAAAAAAUAAUAAAUUAUUUUUGUUAGAUAAAAUACUCGAGAAAAACCUUGAGAAAGAUCUAAAAUACCCAAGAACUUGAGUUUAUAAUAAGUUGAGGUAAUUUCUUGUGAUAGGAGUAGAAUCCAUAUAUAUUGGACGGAAGACCAAACUUGUGCGAAAGCACUUUCUAGAGAUAACUGACAUUAAGGUAUGUUGGGUGAGGUAUCAAACAGG
rnacentral:rRNA from 1 species